AGCGAACGCUGGCGGCAGGCUUAACACAUGCAAGUCGAGCGGGCACUUUCGGGUGUCAGCGGCGGACGGGUGAGUAACGCGUGGGAACGUGCCCUCUGGUUCGGAAUAACUCAGGGAAACUUGAGCUAAUACCGGAUACGCCCUUUUGGGGAAAGGCUUGCUGCCGGAGGAUCGGCCCGCGUCUGAUUAGCUAGUUGGUGAGGUAACGGCUCACCAAGGCGACGAUCAGUAGCUGGUCUGAGAGGAUGAUCAGCCACACUGGGACUGAGACACGGCCCAGACCCCUGCGGAGGGGGGAAGGGGGGAAUAUGGAACGAGGGGCGAAAGCCGAAUCCAGCCAGGCCGGGGGGGUGAUAAAGGCGUUAGGGUGUAAAAGCUUUUUUUCCCGGGGCGAUAAUGCCGGUCCCGGAGAAAAAAGCCCCGGCUAAUUCCGU
rnacentral:rRNA from 1 species